rnacentral:rRNA from 1 species
UACGUAGGGUGCAAGCGUUGUCAGGAAUUAUUGGGCGUAAAGAGCUCGUAGGCGGUUUGUCGCGUCUGCUGUGAAAGUUCGGGGCUCAACCCCGGAACUGCAGUGGGUACGGGCAGACUAGAGUGCGGUAGAGGAGACUGGAAGUCCUGGUGUAGCGGUGGAAUUCGCAGAUAUCAGGAAGAACACCAGUGGCGAAGGCGGGCCUCCGGACCGCAACUGACGCUGAGGAGCGAAAGCGUGGGGAGCGAACAAG